AGAGUUUGAUCCUGGCUCAGGACGAACGCUGGCGGCAUGCCUAACACAUGCAAGUCGAACGGAGUUAUUAUUCAGAAGUUCUUCGGGAUGGAAGGAUAAGAACUUAGUGGCGGACGGGUGAGUAACGCGUGGGUAACCUGCCCUUUUGUGGGGAACAACUUCGAGAAAUCGGAGCUAAUACCGCAUAAUAAUAGAGGAUCGCAUGAUUCUUUAAGGAAAGAUGGCCUCUGAAGAUGCUAUCGCAAAAGGAUGGACCCGCGUCUGAUUAGCUAGUUGGAAGGGUAACGGCCUACCAAGGCAACGAUCAGUAGCCGGCCUGAGAGGGUGAACGGCCACAUUGGGACUGAGACACGGCCCAAACUCCUACGGGAGGCAGCAGUGGGGAAUCUUCCGCAAUGGGCGAAAGCCUGACGGAGCAAUGCCGCGUGAGUGAAGAAGGCCUUCGGGUUGUAAAACUCUGUCCUUAUCGAAGAGAGGUAGGUAUGUGAAUAAUGUACCUAUAGGACGGUAGAUAAGGAGGAAGCCCCGGCUAACUACGUGCCAGCAGCCGCGGUAAUACGUAGGGGGCGAGCGUUGUCCGGAAUCACUGGGCGUAAAGGGCGCGUAGGCGGUUUAAUAAGUCAGUGGUGAAAACUGAGGGCUCAACCCUCAGCCUGCCACUGAUACUGUUAGACUUGAGUAUGGAAGAGGAGAAUGGAAUUCCUAGUGUAGCGGUGAAAUGCGUAGAUAUUAGGAGGAACACCAGUGGCGAAGGCGAUUCUCUGGGCCAAGACUGACGCUGAGGCGCGAAAGCGUGGGGGAGCAAACAGGAUUAGAUACCCCUGGUAGUCCACGCCGUAACGAUGGAUACUAGGUGUUAGUAGUUUCGAUGCUACUAGUGCCGGAGUAAACACAAUAAGUAUCCCGCCUGGGGAGUACGGUCGCAAGACUGAAACUCAAAGGAAUUGACGGGGGCCCGCACAAGCGGUGGAGCAUGUGGUUUAAUUCGACGCAACGCGAAGAACCUUACCAAGACUUGACAUCCUCCUGACAAGAUAUGUAAUGUAUCUCUUUUCUUCGGAGACAGGAGAGACAGGUGGUGCAUGGUUGUCGUCAGCUCGUGUCGUGAGAUGUUGGGUUAAGUCCCGCAACGAGCGCAACCCUUAUUUCUAGUUGCCAGCAGUAAGAUGGGGACUCUAGAGAGACUGCCAGUGACAAACUGGAGGAAGGUGGGGAUGACGUCAAAUCAUCAUGCCCCUUAUGUCUUGGGCUACACACGUGCUACAAUGGUCAGAACAGAGGGAAGCGAAGCCGCGAGGUGGAGCAAAUCCCAGAAAACUGAUCUCAGUUCGGAUUGCAGGCUGCAACCCGCCUGCAUGAAGUCGGAAUCGCUAGUAAUCGCGGGUCAGCAUACCGCGGUGAAUACGUUCCCGGGCCUUGUACACACCGCCCGUCACACCACGAAAGUUAGUAACACCCGAAGCCGGUGGCCUAACCCGCAAGGGAGGGAGCUGUCGAAGGUGGGACUGAUGAUUGGGGUGAAGUCGUAACAAGGUAACC
rnacentral:rRNA from 1 species